rnacentral:rRNA from 1 species
UACGGGGGGUGCGAGCGUUAAUCGGAAUUACUGGGCGUAAAGGGUGCGUAGGUUGUUGUAUAAGUUAGUUUUGAAAUACCUGUGCUUAACAUGGGGGAGUGAACUAAAACUGUAUGACUUGAGUAAAGCAGAGGGUGGUGGAAUUUCCGGUGUAGCGGUGAAAUGCGUAGAGAUCGGAAGGAACAUCGGUGGCGAAGGCGACCACCUGGGCUAUUACUGACACUGAGGCACGAAAGCGUGGGUAGCAAACAGG